rnacentral:rRNA from 1 species
AAUCAACGCUGGCGGCGUGCCUCAGACAUGCAAGUCGAACGCGAAAUUCCGAGCAAUCGGGAAAGUAGAGUGGCGCACGGGUGAGUAACACGUAGGUAAUCUACCUUUGGAUGGGGAAUAACAACCGGAAACGGUUGCUAAUACCGCAUAAUGCAGCGGCACCUAAUGGUGACAGUUGUUAAAGCGGGGGAGUCGAAGACUCGCGUCUAAAGAGGAGCCUGCGGCGGAUUAGCUAGNGGUAAGGUAAUGGCUUACCAAGGCUACGAUCCGUAACCGGCCUGAGAGGGCGGGUCGGUCACACUGACACUGACAUACGGGUCGAGACUCCUACGGGAGGCAGCAGUCGGGAAUUUUGGGCGAAUGGGCGAAAGACCUGACGCAGCAACGCCGCCGUGUGUGAUGAAGGUCUUCGG